rnacentral:rRNA from 1 species
UACGAAGGGGGCUAGCGUUGCUCGGAAUCACUGGGCGUAAAGCGCACGUAGGCGGCUUUUUAAGUCAGGGGUGAAAUCCUGGAGCUCAACUCCAGAACUGCCUUCGAUACUGGCGACCUAGAGUCCGGGAGAGGUGAGUGGAACUCCGAGUGUAGAGGUGAAAUUCGUAGAUAUUCGGAAGAACACCAGUGGCGAAGGCGGCUCACUGGCCCGGUACUGACGCUGAGGUGCGAAAGCGUGGGGAGCAAACAGGG